rnacentral:rRNA from 1 species
UACGAAGGGGGCUAGCGUUGUUCGGAAUUACUGGGCGUAAAGCGCACGUAGGCGGAUAUUUAAGUCAGGGGUGAAAUCCCAGAGCUCAACUCUGGAACUGCCUUUGAUACUGGGUAUCUCGAGUAUGGAAGAGGUGAGUGGAAUUCCGAGUGUAGAGGUGAAAUUCGUAGAUAUUCGGAGGAACACCCGUGGCGAAGGCGGCUCUCUGGGACGGUACUGACGCUGAGACGCGAAAGCGUGGGGAGCGAACAGG